rnacentral:lncRNA from 1 species
CCUUCAUAGCUCCCAAGAACAUGGGUUCAGGAGGGGACCUGGCUCAGAGAAGGUUCUGGCUAGGAGAAGGGCUGGGCAGCUUCAUCAAGAAGCAGAUACCUUGCAUCUGUGCCUUGACUGGGCAGAGAUCCCAGCUUUCCCCUUUCCCCCAGCGUGAGGAAACAGCAGAGGGAAAAGCCUCAUUGGCCAACAGAUCCUGAUGCUGUGUGUGACUUAGAAGCUUGAGUCUUUCCAUAGGGUUCGGAGCUGCCUGGGAGCCAAGUUCCUCACAGCAGAAGGAAGGAUGGGCGUGCGAAGGUUGAGUUCCUGUAACUUAAGCUUUAUCAAAAUAAAAAUCCAGAAUGGUAUACUUGCUCCAACC